rnacentral:lncRNA from 1 species
AUCACCUCUUUUCUGUUAUGUUCUGUUAAGCAUGGCAUUCUUCCCAUGCUGAGGAAAAUUUAGUAAAAUGUGUUCUCGUUAGCAUCUUCAAAAGGUUAUUUUCCUCAUCUGAUAUUUUUCUUAAAUGGCAAAUGUGGCAUUUCCUAAUUUUAAUGGGUCAUUAGCAUUUUAUUGCACAUUUUAAAAAUGGAAAUCUUUUAGUAAAAAACAAGCACAUUUUAUAACAUGCACAAACUUAAAUAUUUUAAUAAAAAUAAUGUGGAGUCUGUAAUUCAAAUUUGUGUAUAAUUUGCAUAUUUAAACAAGUAAGGUCAACAAAAAAGUAGAAUUUUUUUUUGUAUUGUUCAUUCUGCUGCUAUUGGAAUAACAGAGCAUGCUAAAGGGGACAGCAAGAAGUUUGAGAUCUGGUCCAGAUCAAGGGAUGAGGUCUACACAGUACAGGUGAGCACAAAAGUGUGUGCCUUGAGUUCAGAUUUCUAUUAAGAAGACUGUUACAUGUGUUAAGUCUACACUGACCAGGUAUCCUGGUUUUAUGUACUGCUUUGUGAUAUAUGUUGUCUUGUAGGCCGUGUCUGAGGAGGCUAAGACCAUCUGGGUAACAGAAAUCCAGAAACUUCUAACAGGACAGCUUGAGACCUGUAAAGAGGCAAGUCAACAAAGAGCACCUGAGCAGUUCUCCUCAGAUACCAGCUCCACUAACAGACUGGUGAGAAAUGAACCAAGUAACUUCAGGAGUGGAGGAGUGGAUAAACUGAAAACAGAAGAGGAAAGAGGCAAAGAACUAGAGAACAUUCUAGAGCCCAGAACGACAGGGAGAGCAAAAGGGGAGUAAAAAAAAACCCAUGUCAUUAUAGAAUUUUAAUUUUGAUUGAACUUCCCCUUUAACUUCUUUCUGUUUCUUUGAUGAUUGCAGGGUCUUCGUUUAGUUUUGAGACGAAACCAAAACGACAAGAUAUUCGGAGUGACCCUACACCUCUAGAAACAGGGCCACAGCCUAACUUGGGCGGAGGCAGGUGGUUCAGUACAUCAAGUCUGUUUCAGAAUCGUGGGAGAGGUACACAUACUGAGUACACAUAUAUGUGCACACUUAGGCAUAAUCCACUGAGGUGUUAUAGGGUAGCAUGUGUUUGUAGAUUGUAUGUUUGUCUCAUCUGAUGCUUUCUGAGAGGUGCUGACCACGUCUAUGUCUUUACAAGAUUGUUAUGGGUUAAGCUCUAUCAACAGCAUCCUUUACAUGAAAAAUAAGUUUGACUGUUCCCUCAGUUUGUAAAAACAAAGAGCAAUGUCUAUAUAAUGAAAGACAUUACAGAGGGAUUCAAAGCAGAAAUGUGCAGCAGAGAAGCACUUUCAUUAAUUCUGCUGUACAAAAAAUGUGCUGUUUGUGGACAAAUUGUCCUUUUAUUCAUGCUGUUGAUAGACAUAAACUUGAAUUGAACCCAGAAUGUUCCACUGACACACAUCCACGCAUGCUCUUUCUGUGUGCUCUGGGAACUGCUCACUAGUCUGUCUUCUGUCUAUCACGGUGAGGUUUCAGUGGUACUUUCUCUGUCUUCUCUGCCCUCAUUUAGGUGUUCACUUACGAUACAAUCCCUGUUUGCCAUGCUUUUAACUUGAAUUAAUUUUUUCUCUCACUUCUUUUAUUUUCUACUGACUGUCUCAGGUUGGACUAAAGGAUCUCUCUCGCUGGAUGCCUCUGUGGAGCAUGAUGGAUACUUUAGUGCAGAGGAGCAGGCGACCUCUGACCCAGAAGAGGAGAAGGAAGAUAAAAUGGUGCAAUCUGUGAGGAUAGAGGAAGAGAUCCAGCGUUCUGAAGAGACUGAGAAAUGAGAGUUGAGUGUGAAUGUGUGCGUAAUGCCAUCAGUGUACAGCACAGACAGUAGGUUUCAUGCAUAACUCUUGAAAGAGGGGGAAAAACAUUAACUUUGAAGUUUUGCAUACUCUUAAAAAUAAAGGUUCCUGGUAGUGUGACCAAAAAAAGCUAAUUGUAAAUGGCUGUUAAGAAACCAAACAUUACCAGCAGGGGUCAUACUAACCAGCCCAAAACAAAAAGUUAGUGACCAAAAAGGGUUUUACAGGACCUUUUUAUCCUUUAAAUCUAGAAGAAACUAUCUUAUACAAACUGAAAACCCUAUAAUGGAUUCCAAAGAACUGUACACAGUGGAAAUUACUGUUGUUUAGAGAGUUCUUUGCAAGAAGCUUUAUUUUUAAGAGUGUGGUCUUAGAAUGCACCAAAAUAAUGCAUUUCACAGAGACACCAGAGCCAGCUCUUUACACACUGUCUCAUCAUAGUAUGCUGAGAUACAUGUUUCAUAUCCCUUAAAACGUAGUUAUUUCUGUCACAGCAUUAUGUCCAUACUGAGAUAUGGCAUGUCUAUUGUCAAGUCCUGUGAUCUCCAGUGUGAAAGCAUAUAAAAUAUAAUUGUGUUCUGUACAAUGCAGGAAACUAGUAACAAUGUGUAAAACAAGCAUAUCAUAUAUGCAGAUGUUGUUUCUCAAAGUGACUGUGAUCACCCUGUGUCAUGUAAAAUAUGUCUACAAAUCAAUAUUGUUUAUAUGCAUAUAAAAAUAAAGCCAUAGUUGACUGACGACUCUUGCCUUAUUUUUGUUUAAUAAAAACUUAAAGGUCAAAUUAUACAUAAUGACGUUUACAACGUA